UACGUAGGUGGCAAGCGUUGUCCGGAUUUACUGGGCGUAAAGAGCGCGCAGGCGGCUGGUCAAGUCCGAUGUGAAAUCUCCCGGCUUAACUGGGAAACUGCAUCGGAAACUGAUCGGCUUGAAGGUGGGAGAGGGUAGUGGAAUUCCAGGUGUAGCGGUGAAAUGCGUAGAUAUCUGGAGGAACACCGGUGGCGAAGGCGGCAUCCUGGACCGGUAUUGACGCUGAGGCGCGAAAGCCAGGGGAGCAAACGGG
rnacentral:rRNA from 1 species